CGUUAACGCUCAAGCAUCGCU
rnacentral:misc_RNA from 1 species